rnacentral:rRNA from 1 species
CCUACGGGAGGCAGCAGUGAGGAAUAUUUGUCAAUGGGCGCGAGCCUGAACCAGCCAAGUAGCGUGAAGGAUGAAGGUUUUCGGAUUGUAAACUCCUUUUGUUAGAGAAGAUAAUGACGGUAUCUAACGAAUAAGCACCGGCUAACUCCGUGCCAGCAGCCGCGGUAAUACGGAGGGUGCAAGCGUUACGCGGAAUCACUGGGCGUAAAGAGCGCGUAGGCGGGAUAGCAAGUCAGAUUUGAAAUCCUAUGGCUAAACCAUAGAACUGCAUUUGAAACUGUUAUUCUAGAGUAUGGGAGAGGUAGGUGGAAUUCUUGGUGUAGGAGUAAAAUCCGUAGAGAUCAAGAGGAAUACUGAUUGCGAAGGCGACCUGCUAGAACAUAACUGACGCUGAUGCGCGAAAGCGUGGGGAGCAAACAGGAUUAGAUACCCUAGUAGUC